rnacentral:rRNA from 1 species
UACGUAGGGAGCAAGCGUUGUCCGGAAUCAUUGGGCGUAAAGAGCGCGUAGGCGGCCCGGUAAGUCCGUUCUGAAAGUCAGAGGCUCAACCUUUGAAAGCGGAUGGAUACUGCCGGGCUAGAGUCCGGAAGAGGCGAGUGGAAUUCCUGGUGUAGCGGUGGAAUGCGCAGAUAUCAGGAGGAACACCAACGGCGAAGGCAGCUCGCUGGGACGGUACUGACGCUGAGGCGCGAAAGCGUGGGGAGCAAACAGG